GGAUGUGAGGACGAUCUGUCUGCGAGAUCUGUCACCCCAACCCUGCCACCAGGGUUGAUUCUGCUGAUCUGGCUGGCUAGGCAGGUGUCCCCUUCCUCCCUCACCGCUCCAUGUGCAUCCCUCCCGAAGCUGCACACUUGGUUGAAGAGGACGGUCUUCCCCGAAUAGAGACGGACCGGUCUUUGGUCGAGGGUAUACGAGUAGCUGCGCUUCCCUGCUAGAACCUCCAAACAAGUUCUCAAGGUCCAACAACCAUGAUGCCAACCUGACCUCCCUGGGCAGACAACUUCACCAAUGUGU
rnacentral:snRNA from 1 species